AGGAAAGGUGUUUUAACUAUUUGUCUUGCCUAGCUCCGAUAGUAGGCGCCAUCACGACACCCGAUGGUGGGAAAUCCGGGUCGUGACAAGUUGGUAUCAGAGCCCUAGGUUACUUAGGUCUCACAAAUCACGAACAAGCUCAGUAGAAUCUGAGGGAUCGGUACAGAGACGUCUGCAUUUAUCCCGCAGAGGCUACUGAGUUAGGAAAACUUCACCUUGUUCAUUCUUGUCGUGUGAUUCUGUUUCUCAAUUACUGAUUGUCUUUCCACUCUGUUCUCUCGUAAAUGGCGAGGACAUGUGCUUACUCUUCUAUCGCGCAGCAGCCCGAGCCCCCAGCAGCAGCUCCUAUUAGGGGCAGAGGGCGAGGCCGAGGCCGGGGCAGAGCUCUGCCCCGAGCAGCAUUUCCAGUGACGGAGCCUCAGGUCGAUUUUGAGGAGGAGGUUCCGGCCCCAGCUAUUCUAGUGGGCCCAGCUCAGGUCCCAGAGGGUUUCAUAGCCACUUCAGUGCUUCAGGACGCUUUGGUCCGACUGGUAGGCUUCAUGGAGGGCAUUUCUAGAGCAGGUUUGCUUCCCGUAGCUCCAGCCACAUCUCAGGCUGGGGGAGGAAUUCAGACUCCCGAUACUCGUACUCCAGAGCUGGUAGCUCCUCAGGAUCAGGUUCCAGCAGUUCAGCCAAUCCGUGUUCAGAUGGCCAUGAGUGCCGGUAGUGAGAUUUCAUUUUAGGAGGCGACAUAUGGUGCCCGCCGGAUAGAGAUGGCACUUGCUCAGGGAGGUGGUCAUGGGUAUGAUAAGAGGCCCGUCAUUCUGGUAGAUUCAGUGGUACCUCGUCUGGAGGUAGGGAUUCUUAUGGUAGAGGCCAUCCUUCGAGGCCCUUUCAGUCAGCUCUCCAGGCUUCUCAUGGUACACCAGGUGGUCGUGGUUCUCAGCCGCAAUAUUCUGACCAGCAACUCUUCAGUUCACCAUCAGCACCUAUCAGUGCACCACCACUUCAUUAUUCUCAGCAGCCGAGGGCUUGUUAUACUUGCGGCGAUGUGAGUCACAUUGCCAGAUAUUGCCCUCGAGCUUCCAGCAGCUCGCAGCAGCAGGGUCUUCACCCGAUGAUCCAGGCACCAGUUGCCCCACAGCCUGCCCAGCCAGCUAGAGGCGGGGGUAGAGGACAUAGAGGUGGAGGUAGAGGUCUUAGAGGUGGAGCUCCGACCGCUAGAGGUAGGGGUCAACCAGCAGCAGAUCAUCCCAGGGAUAUGUUUCAGGGAGGUGGGGCCCAACCCUGUUGUUAUGCUUUGCCAACCAGGCCAGAGGUUGAGUCAUCAGAUGCUGUGAUUACAGGUAUUAUUCUGGUCUGUGAUAGGGAUGCUUCUGUGCUAUUUGGUCCCGGAUCUACGUAUUCAUAUGUGUCGUCCUAUUUUGCACCCUAUUUGGUUAUGCCUAGUGACUCGUUGAGUAUUCUUGUUUAUGUGUCAACACCGGUGGGUGAUUCUAUUGUGGUCGACCAAGUUCAUCGUUCUUGUAUCGUAGUGUUUGGGGGUCUUGAGACCCAUGUUGAUCUGUUGCUUUUGGACAUGGUCGACUUCGAUGUUAUAUUGGGGAUGGAUUGGUUAUCCCCGUACCAUGCUAUCUUGGAUUGCCAUGCCAAGACCGUGACCUUAGCCUUACCGGAUUUACCCCGUUUAGAGUGUAGAGGGACUUCUGGUCAUUGUACCCGCAGUGUUAUCUCGUAUGUGAAAGCUCGGCGUAUGGUCGAGAAGGGAUGUUUGGCCUACUUGGCGUAUGUUCGCGAUUCUAGCGCGGAGGCCCCUUCUAUUGAUUAUGUGCCCGUUGUUCGGGAGUU
rnacentral:lncRNA from 1 species